CCUGAUUGUAUGAGGAAGUCGUGGCAAUCCAUAACAUUUUGUCUACUAAGGUCCUAGCAAUCCUCAUACAGCUGUUGUGUACUUCUAUUUUCAUGAUUCCCUUUUACCUUUUCCCAAAAGGUUAGAUCUAAUAUUUUCAGCCUUGGAUUUACAGAUGCUUCUCCAGUGGCUAUUUAAAGCACACACACACACUGCUGUUGUUAUCAUAGUGCCACAUGCCAGUCACAAAGCUUGGGCGUGGCGUAGUUCCAAGUUUCUAACAGUUGUUUUUGAGGCUGAACCAAAAGCUUGGCAUCCGUAGUUUAAAAUUAGUCUUAUCCGUGCUCUAUACGUCAUCAUCGAUACCUUCAUAUCUGCACCCCGCUUGUUUCCAGCUACAGUUUUAGUAGAGGAAGCCACGCCCCGGAAGCUCUGCUGGGCAUGCUCCAACUGGAGAACAGCUAUAAAAGCCUGCAGAGCUGCUCAGUCUGGGCUGACCACCGGAGAAGAAGGAGGUACGCUGCUAGCUCCUGAAGAGGGAGAGCUUGCGCACCAGGAUCCGGAGGCCAGCCAAGCUGGGACACCCCCUGAUACCCCGAUGGAGGAUGUCACAGGAGGAGAACACACCAGAUGACCCCACCACAGAGAACCUGGCAUUUAUGUUUGUAGGAGAUGGUAACAAGAAUACAAGAAUCACCGAAGAAGAUGACAUUUUGAUUACAAGGCACAGGAUAAUCCCAUAAGAGACCCCAAACAACAAUUCAAAGUUAAAUUCUUUAACCAGG